GAUCUGGUGGUGUAACUGGUAACACGGCUGCUUUGACUAAACGGCGAUCACGUACGAAGUUAAGCAGGAGCUCCCCGUUCGAUUCGGGGUCAGGUCG